rnacentral:misc_RNA from 1 species
UCUCUACUUGCGUAGGCAGUCGAUCUAGAGUUCCCACCAUUACGUGCUGGUAACUAGACCCAGGGGUUGCGCUCGUUGCUGGACUUAACCAAACACCUCACGGCACGAGCUGACGACAGCCAUGCAGCACCUGUAACACCCCCCUUGCGGGUACACCACUUUCAUGGCUUUAGAUGUCCUUUCAAGCCUAGGUAAGGUUCUUCGCGUUGCAUCGAAUUAAACCACAUGCUCCACUGCUUGUGCGGGCCCCCGUCAAUUCCUUUGAGUUUCACCCUUGCGAGCGUACUCCCGCGCAUGGCCGACCAUGCGGGUGGAUCACUUAACGCGUUAGCUUCGAGCGCAUGAUCGAUCAUGCUCCCGACCUUGCGGCCGACAUCAAGUGAUCAUCGUUUAGGGCAUG